UCCCAAGGCUAAAUACUCCCUAGUGACCGAUAGUGAACCAGUACCGUGAGGGAAAGGUGAAAAGCACCCCGGAAGGGGAGUGAAACAGUUCCUGAAACCGUGUGCCUACAAGUAGUUAGAGCCCGUUAAUGGGUGAUAGCGUGCCUUUUGUAGAAUGAACCGGCGAGUUACGAUUUGUUGCAAGGUUAAGCGGAAAAAGCGGAGCCGUAGCGAAAGCGAGUCUGAAUAGGGCGCAUAAGUAACAGGUCGUAGACCCGAAACCAGGUGAUCUACCCAUGUCCAGGAUGAAGGUAAGGUAAUACUUACUGGAGGUCCGAACCCACGCACGUUGAAAAGUGCGGGGAUGAGGUGUGGGUAGCGGAGAAAUUCCAAUCGAACUUGGAGAUAGCUGGUUCUCUCCGAAAUAGCUUUAGGGCUAGCCUCGAGGUAAAGAGUCAUGGAGGUAGAGCACUGUUUGGACUAGGGGCCCUUCUCGGGUUACCGAAUUCAGAUAAACUCCGAAUGCCAUGUACUUAUACUCGGGAGUCAGACUGCGAGUGAUAAGAUCCGUAGUCGAAAGGGAAACAGCCCAGACCACCAGUUAAGGUCCCCAAAUAUAUGUUAAGUGGAAAAGGAUGUGGGGUUGCUUAGACAACCAGGAUGUUGGCUUAGAAGCAGCCACCAUUGAAAGAGUGCGUAAUAGCUCACUGGUCGAGUGACCCCGCGCCGAAAAUGUACCGGGGCUAAACAUAUUACCGAAACUGUGGAUGAACCUCAUUAGAGGUUCGUGGUAGGAGAGCGUUCUAAGGGCGGUGAAGUCAGACCGGAAGGACUGGUGGAGCGCUUAGAAGUGAGAAUGCCGGUAUGAGUAGCGAAAGAAGGGUGAGAAUCCCUUCCACCGAAUAUCUAAGGUUUCCUGAGGAAGGCUCGUCCGCUCAGGGUUAGUCGGGACCUAAGCCGAGGCCGAUAGGCGUAGGCGAUGGACAACAGGUAGAGAUUCCUGUACCAGUGCUAAUUGUUUAACCGAUGGGGUGACACAGAAGGAUAGGGAAUCGCACGAAUGGAAAUGUGCGUCCAAGCAGUGAGUGUGAG
rnacentral:rRNA from 1 species